AAAUAUACAACAAAGUACGAUCAAGUAAUUCACUCAAUGCACUGAAAAGAAAAUCAACAAUCAGCAUAACAGUUUACAUACUUGAAGAAGAACCUGGUCUCUUACUUAGCAAGUCCUAGACUGUGUAGUAGGUAGGUUAUUUGUGUUGUAAUGAGUCAUUGUUCUAGUCUCAGUGAUCUAUAAAUUGAGUUAGGAAUUGUGUCUUCAAGUUGGGAACCUGAAGAUUUGGG
rnacentral:lncRNA from 1 species